GCUGCAUUUGUACUGGCAGAGGCCGUCCUCGCCGCCCAGGAGGUCGAGCGCCGCGUUGAGGUAAACGUCGAUCUUGUGCACGCCGUUCCGGAUAGUUUUCAGCGUCAUCCUCCAGUCUGGGGUCUGCGGCGCCUCCUGGCUCCGGGCCGCCGGCGGCCGCGGGCCCACCCAGGCACCCGCCAUCAGCAGCGGCAGCAGCAGCAGGGCGCGGGCCAUGCCCGAGGAGCCGCGCCCCGCGCCGCCGGGCGCUCGCUAAGCCCCCGCCGCGCGGCCGCAGCGCUCCGCACGCACGGCCCGGCCCGCCGCCAUCGGCCCCGCGGGCGCCGCCCCUACGGCUGGGCGGGACUGCGAGCAGGGCGCGGCCUGUUGGAGAAGGCGGCCGGCGUCCGCUCCUGGCCCGGCGCUGCGGUGUGGGGUGCUGGGAGCGGAGCUGCUCCGGGAUCUUUCCACGUGCGAGCGAUUCGCUUUCAGGUGAGGCAGGGUGGAACCACACGGGAAUCGUUCUAAUUUCUGCAACGAAAGCCUUGUUUUAAGACGUGUGGAAUUCCUCAAAAGACGGACAGAGGGAUUUUAGGACACAGGGUUUCCAGACACUGGGAGACCAGUAUAUUGUUUUCUGUGAAAUGGAGAAACGCCUCUGAUCAUCCUUGUUACUUCUUUCUCAGAAAGAUGAGAGGACUGGAACUUGCAGAUACAGGCACUCAUUGCUGCCAUAGCUUACAAAUGACUGGCAUCCAGCAGAUAUUGAUUUACAACUACAUGAUAUCUAGUCUUCUUUUCUUGUCCAGAGGACCAUUCUGCAAAGAAACCCUGUGAAAUGGCCUCCUUUGUUUUUUGUUUUUUUUUUUAAGUCUCUAAAGCGAUAGACUGCUCUCCUCUACCAGGAAACACCAGAAAUUCCCCCUCCUGCCCCGUCAAUCUUUUGGAGCUUUCUAAAGCCCAAAGGAGCAUUAGGUAAGAAGGUAAGAGGAUAUAUAUUUUUUUAACUUCCAAUUUAGAUGCUGCUGUUCUGUACUCUGUGCCUCCUUUAACAGGGUAAGGGAGGGUAUUCAACACCAGAGGUAAACUAAAUGCUUCCUGAAUCUGGUUUGUCAGCUUUUAUUCAGAGAAAAUACCCAUUGAAUUCACUUCCUAAUUGGAGGCUGAGGAUUGGCUCUAUUCUCAUGUUACUGACAGUAAUGUUUACUUUUAGGGUUCAGUUUACCUUUACCAAUUACUAUGUACCGAAAAUGUUUACUUUUUGGCUUUAGACUUUGUCUCUUAUCUAAAAUAUUCUAAGUUCAAAACAAAACAAGGUAUUUUCAGUGGUAAGGAGAAUAGUACAGAUGAACUAUUAUAUUAACAAACUAGUUAAAUUAAUUCCUUAUACACAAGGAGAAUAUUCCUGCCUGCUGCAUCUACAUUUUCUUCCCAAAAACAGGAUACCGGUUUGAUAGAUGUCCAUGCAUGCAAAGGUUAUAAUCUACUUUAAGCCUCAUAAAACAACAUCUGUUUUUUCUAUCCUUUAGUUUUUUAGUAGAAAGGGAAGGAAAAGUAUGUAACCUUUUCUUAGUCUCCUAGUAUGUGUAACAUAACAUCAGAAAGACUUAACUCUUGCAUGCAUUUUGGUUUUGCUAAUUUGAUAAAUGACUUAAUAACAUGCAUUGUGUAGUCUGUAGGUUUAAUUUAGCAUAACAAAAGCAAAAGAAAGAAAAACACAUCUUAGAAGGAAACCUGAACAGAGAGCUUGAGCUUCAUCCUCUCCUGUUAGGCAGUCAACUUCUUUGUUACACACAUUCUUAUUUGGAAUACAGAUAUUUGAUCGACAGUGGAAACUGUUGUUUCUGCAUUCUGUAAUAUAAAAGAAGUAAAAUGGUAAAGCACAGGACUAUAUGAUUCAGUGACCUCACGUAUUUAGAGGGCUUCUUAAAAUAUAAACUCGAUAAAAUAUCCAUGGUAUGGAUACUUUAAGGGACUUUGCUAUUUAUAAAUAGAUCCUGAAAGUAGGGUCUGUAAGUGUAAAAUGAAGUGAAUACUUGACUCUGCUCAUUUUUCUGUCUUGGUGUUUUAAAAUUUAUGAGUUUAAGAAAGAUCUUAUUUUAGUUUAAGGUAGUUCAUUGGAAAAACAACAACAACAACAACAACAUGGUUUUGUUUGAUUACUGUCAGUUUUGCCCUACUGAAAAUACAUUUAAUUCUGCCUAAUACAGUUGGGUUUUGUUUCUUUGUUUUUGUUUGUAUCAACAGCCUCCUAAGUCUCAGUAUUUUUUUUUAUUAUCAGAAGAAAUCCAGAUCCUCAGAGAUCAGUUGCUUGCUUUGGGAAAUUGCAUUAUUUAUAUUAUUACAAUUAUCUAACUGUAGAAUCAUAGAACUUUUUUGUGCUUUCCUACACAGAAACUAUAGUUUUCUUACCUUAAUACUGUGACUUUGCAAUAGAGACUUCAUUGUUACAUCACUGUAAAAAUUAAUUCUUUGGAGAUGGUUUGUUGCUGAAAUGUUUUUUAAACAGCUGAGAGAAUAAACUAUUACCUUUACAACACAGUUCAUCACUUAAGUCUCCGCAGUCAUUUAUACCGUCACAGGUUUUAGUCACAGAAAUGCACUUGUCAUUUGCACAAUGGAACUCACCAGCUGAACAUUCUGUACAGUGAGAUGAAAAUGAAGUUAGUAUAGAAAUGACUGUAGGUUCACAACUGCCCAAGGAAAUACUCAGCAUACACAUUUUAUUCAUUCGACAGAUUGGCCUCUCAAAAGUAGGCAUCUUAAAGCCUAGUUAAGUAAAUAGGGAUCUUUUUUUUUUUAUUGUUUUCAUUGCCUCCUCUUCAAACUUUCAAUGUGACUCUGUAUUUUCUUCCUCCAACUUUCAGUAACCUGGCAAAAGGGAACUUUGUUUCUUCCAGACAAGGACUAAAGUAGAAACAUUAGCUUCAGUUGAUCUCCCAGAGCAAGAACAAAAGAAGUAGGUUGUCACCUGUCUCCUCAUCAGUUAAACUAGGAGAGACAAGAGUUGUGGGAUAUAAUAUGCUUUGGGAGGGAUGGGGGAACAGCCAGAACCAAGGGUGAAAUUUGUCCACUUUUGGGUAGUAUCUGUCAAGAUAUUCUAGGAGCAACAGUGCAUUAUUUUCCAAAGCUGUAAAUUCAGGAUUGCCUCAGUUGUCUUAAAUGUUUGCAAAAGGAUUAUUUAAAAAAAGAUAAAAAUUAAAAGAUUUCAUUGAUUUCAUUAGUGGCUGAGAUUUCAGCAGAAUAGAUCCUCAAUACAUAUAUUUCAAAUAAACUUAACAUGAAGAGCUGUAAGUAGAUUUAAAGCCAAAAAAACCCUACUAACCUCGGAGAGUUUUCUGGCACUGGAGGCUAACAAAUCCCUCAUUACUAGCUCUUAAUUUCUUCUCUAUGUAACAUUCAGCAAGACUUGUCUCUAGGCCUCUGCAAGUUAUUUGGAAGCAGUGUGAUGGUUCUGUGAUGUUGUAGAUGGUGUGGUAAUAUUCAGCACCUCUGUAAAGAUAAAAAUAAUAACAACAAAUUCUCUAAUUUCACAGUGGAUUGCCCUCUCUUUUUAUUGUUUAGAAUUUAUGAUUUUCCUCAGUGUUAAAGAACUUUGGAUGUGGCUAAGGAAAUAAAAAAAAAAAAAACCAAACAACAGAUUUCCCAUGGAGUGGCGUAAGGGUAAGGAGGAAAGUAGGAGAUAUUUACUUUGGAAGAAAAGGUUCAACAAAGUGCAUCAUAGAGCUGGCACUGAAUAUGUGACAUUCUUAUCUGUUCCUGUGUAUGGUGAUAGAUAGAAACCAUCUUGCAUGAGGCUGAGUACCGGUGGUAUCAUCAAAACCAAUGCAUAUUGAGGAAGCUUAGGCCAUUGCGAGAUUGGCAUUUAUUAAACACCUGAAUGCAAUCCUCUAACAGUGUGUCUCUCUUCUCUCUUAAGAAAAUAAGGAAUGAAUAAAUAAAUAAUUGGAGAGACUUGCAGUGGGAGUCAAGGGCUGAAUGCUCUGUCCCAGAACAAACCUCUCUCUAUGCUAUCUAAAGAGGUAUGAAUCAGGACUGGGAAAUAUUUAAUUCUCAUCUACAGGGGACAGAUUUAGGCACUGUGGUAGCAUUCUUAGUUUCUGUGUAGAGUUGGAGAGGCAGUCCUAUUUGGCUCAGUUAUGCUAUUGCUUAAAAUGAUUAUGUACAGGAUAUAGAGUUGAUUCUUUAUGAUGACCUCAACAUGUAACUCAGAUCAUUGGUGUGGUCUUGGGAAAAAGAACAAGCUGUUUGUGGCCUCAGCUGUUUCUGGUGGGCAAAGCAAGCAAUGGUGGCAGGUCAGGAGAUGAAGAAAAAGAGCUGUGUUCUGGUUCUUGUUAGUCUGGCUGCUGCGAGUGGCAAAACACAGCUGUACCGUUUGGCUAGCCAGUUUAAGAAACUUUUCUCUAUAUGCAAUUCAUUGAUCAGAGCCACCUGGGGAUUGUCCAUCUAUGCACUUUCCCUUAUACAGACCUGAGAGAAAACUCAUCUAUCAGACUUCAACUUUAUUUUAAAAGUAAAAUAUUAAUCAUUUGAACAGUUGUUAUUUGUACGAAAAUGCAGAAAUCUGCUCUGGCUUUUGCUUUCAAGAAGCUUUACUGUAACCGAUAUAUUGUUCAUGAAUUUUCUCUUAAUAGUUGGCUGACUGACUGACCCUUAUAUAAGCAUCACUAUUUGUUCACAUCCAUUGCAGUCACAGAGAGAGAAAUUCCCUGAACUUACAAUUCAAAGCCAAGGUGUCUGCAGGCCACAUUUGCUUCAUUCAUUGUCCACAUACUGUCACAUACAAAAAGGUCCUCAUUAUUCACAGGUUUUACUUGGAGCAAAUGUGAAUCAUUGUAGACCAAGGAGAUUUUAAAUGUUUCUAAAAAAAAAAAAAAGAAAUUAAAAAAUUCCCUUAUAAAAUUGUAUUCUAUGGAUGUAUGUAGUGGAAAGACAGCACAGGAAGAAACCAGACCUAAAGUAUGUUGUUGGCAUCCAGAGUUCAUAUGGAAUGAACAGUAGGUUGGGGAUCAGAAGCUUAAGGUAUUACUGACAUUAUGGCUUUGAGCCUGCUGCUUUUUCAAAUAUACCAGCUUCAGAUCAAAUGAAGAUAACAGUUCCUGUCCUGGAAGCAUACUUGAAGGUCUUCUGAGGAAAGGUUGCAUCUUAGUGUAAGACUUUUGUUAGAGGACUUUCAGUAAUCAAACAAAUGAAUGACUGAUACCUUUUGAAAAAAAGAGAUAUUAAUACCUGUGGACAUGCAUUUUCCCUUGUUCAGAAACUUUGCUUCGGAACGUUGACACUCAAAGCUCUUUAGGUGGCAAUAAGUAUAAAAGUUCUUUCCAGUGGUAGAACAAACUGAAGUGCCGUUCUUUGGACACUGGUAGGGAAGCUUACAGAGGCAUUUUCCCUCCACACAUCGUUCCCAUGGGUGACAAAAAACUUUCUUACAGGACUUGUGUGUGUAUUUGUUGCUUAAACAUUCUUCUAUAAGGUAAGUGUCUCGCUCAGCUGGCUGACUGUCUUGCUCAACUGGCUGAGCAGGCUCAACGUAUGAAGACUGUUCUUCUGUAUCAUUAGAUGAUUCAUUCUGCAAGGCACAAAUUAAAAAAAAAUGCCAAAACCAAAUAGUGAACAGGACUGGAGAUGGCACCAGCAGUUCUGCAGAUCCCUUGCAUACGUCAGCAGAGUGAUUGGGAGCCUUUUCCUAUCUUGUAAAAAUGGAAGUGCUAAAUAUCAUCUAUAGUGUUUAUCCCCUUGUCUUUGAGAUAUCCACCUUUCUGUUUUUCUGGAUUUUUUUUCUUUUUUCUUUUUCAGAUCAUUCCCCUGGUGUGAUUUUCACUCUUCCUGGUCACCCACAAGCUAUACUCUUCAAAAAUCAGCUGAAGUGCACAACAGAUGAUAAACAUUUCAAGCCAGUGGUUUAUAGCACACCACAACAAUGGAACUGUGAGCAAAUUAAAAUAUAAGGGGACUUCACAGAAUCACACAGAAUGGCCUGGGUUGGAAGGGACUUCAAGGAUCAUGAAUCUCCAACCCACCCCCCUGCCCCCCCGGCACUGGCAGGGCCACCAACCUCUACAUUUAAUACUAGAGCAGGCUGCCAAGAGCCCCGUCCAGCCUAGCCUUGAACACCUCCACGGAUGGGGGAUCCACAACCUCUCUGGGCAGCCUGUUCCAGCACCUUACCACUCUCACAGUAAAGAACUUGCCCCUGACAUCCAACCUAAAUCUUCCCUCCUUCAACUUAAAACCAUUUCCCCUUGUCCUGCUAUUAUCUCCCCUUUCAAAGAAUUGACUCCCCUAACUUGGCUUAAACACCAGAAAAAUGAAAUUAAAAAAAAAAGAGUAGCAACUUGAUUUUUUUUCAAGACCUUUUUAUUGUCCCAGUUGACCCAGUUGACAUAACUAUAGCCAAUAACUACUUAGAAACAAAUAAAUCUAAAAUUGAAGAUGUGUUUCAUUGCAAGUAACAAGUAUUAAGUAUCUUCAACAAAUGUGAAAAUUAAGUGCCCUUCCCAGUCUGUUUUGUUCCCAUAUCUUGGAUGGCAGUGGGUUUGCAGUGUGGUUUCUGGUUGUUGUGGACUGCAAGGAGUGCUCCUUAUCCCUCCAUCUGACCAUCUGUCUCUAGGUGAGUGAUAACACCUAUCCUGGCAGCUCUCUGGUUAUUCCAUUGCUGGCUGAGUGCUUUUGCUCACUAAGAUGUGUGUGCAGGGGGAAUGUUGAAAUGUGAAAAAUAUGUAGCUAGACUUUGCAUAAAGAUGAGAAAGAAAUGUCAGUUGUCAGAUCGGAUUUAUCGGCUUUGAGUGCAUCCACUGAAUCAACAGAGCCAAAGUUUAAAGUUCUCGUGAAGAAAUCCUGGCCUAAGUAAAGGCAGUGGGAAUGUCGCCAGGGCUGAAUUUAUUCCGAGCCCCUCCCACCCUUUUAAGGGCUGUAUAAUCUUAAUAAAUUCUUCCUGUUCUUCUCAGGUCAGUAGAAUCCUAUGCAUUAUCUUUAGAUUUACAUACCAAACUCUGAGCCAGGCCCGGCUUGGCAUAACUCCUGUAUUGCACUAGAUGUUUCUCUUUAGCUCUGACAGAAUAGCAACAAAAGGGGCUGAUCUUUACCUACGGGUUUUUCUUGGAAAGCUCAGGCUAUGCUGAACAUGGAGCCCAUCAGGACUCCUUGAGAGGCUUUUGCCAGAAGAGAUUUUACAACAAAAGCUUUCUGAGCUGAGCCACACUUGCAGGUUGGGUUUAGCAUAGCAUCCCGAUUAAAAGAUUUUCCAAAAGGCUGUUAAUGUAAACCUCAGAUAGAACCGAUAUACAGAGGAGAAACAGCAAGAUUCACAUUUUCAAGCUGGACUAAAACAAAUGUACGAAAUGCAGAUGCUGCAAAAGGAAAUUAAAAAAGACUUUGUUUUUAUAAUAAUAAAUUGUUUUAACUGUUUGCUGUUGGUUGGUUUGUUUUUAAAAUAAGGGGAUACCACAAUAAAAUAAGUUCUUACCUGUGCUCGACAGAAAGAAAAGAGAGAGAAGCAAACCAAGAGAACUGCAACCACUCUCAUGAUGAGGUUUUAUGUCUUUGUAGAGAAAUUCCCCUGGCCGGGACUUUCCCAAUUGCCAGUCGUUAGGUUUGUGUUUAAUUUUUAACCUUUGGUAAAACACUCUGAAGUGGACUCAGAAACAACUACGGGAGCCUUAGAUAUCAACGGAUGAGUCUGCUCUCUCCACACGGAUCCCACCCCAUUUAACCUGUUUUACUGUAAAUAGAGACCAAAGGGAAGCCCUUGAAGCCAACGGUUACAAGGGAGUGCUCAGCAGGGUCUCUCGCUCCCCGCCUGCUGCCAACGCAGACCGAUGGAGCCGCGGGCCGAUCUCCUGGCAGCAGGCACCCCGCUCUGCAGGGAGCUGUUAGGGCAGGUGCGUUCUUAGGUGAGAUACGUGUGUCUGUAUGCAGGCAGGCAAACGGAACGGAUCAACUCCACUAUCUCCGUGCGAGAGCGUAACCGGCGGAGCCUUGCUCAGAGAACUGUUGGGGCAGUGGCCAAUCCACUGCAUCCCACCUGCGGGCGGUUUCCGGGAGAACCGCGGUCUCGGCCGGCACAACGGAACGGCUCCUGCGA
rnacentral:lncRNA from 1 species